AGGUAUUCUUUGGUUGACUUCGCUAGCUAUUCUAGGUAUCCUUUGAUUGAAUUCGCUUUCUCUUUAACGCCGCCUCCGUCCGACACCACCACUGGCGACCACCAUCGCCUACCCUCUCUCUCUCUUCCUUCUUCUCUUUCUUCCCCAUUUCUCCAUUUCUUCGUUCCUGCGUGCGACACCCCUAUUCGUGGAGUCACCCUCUGUCCGCGUCUUCAAGCACCGACAGGCAACCACCAGCGGCGACGACCUUCUGUGCCACCGCGACAUCACCACCACCCCACCGCCUCUCCGUUCUUCUUCCUCCUUUCAUCAAUGCAGCUUUCUUAAAAGAUUCCCUCUCUCCCUGGUGCUGCGAAGUUAGGGUUUCCUAUGACCAGCAUUUCACAGUGGGAAUUGUAGUGGUGUGGGUCAGUAGAAUCUUUUGAUCAAAGAAACAAUAGUGGAGUAUUUGGUUCUUCAGCAUAUACACUAUCACAAAGUAUUGGUAGAGUUUAAGACUCCCAGAAAAGCUAUUCAAGGUUCUUCAGCAUAUACACUUUUUUUUUAUUAAAGAAAAAUCUGCUUCUGCUAUAUUCAAUGAGCUGGCAGUGCAGGGUUAGUAUAUGCUGUAAAAAAUCUUGCAGCCAUUGAUUCUUUUAAACUUUGAAGCAUGCAUUUUCCUCUCAUCUUCCUACUCUUCCUUCCCAUGCAUUU